CUGACGAACGCUGGCGGCGUGCCUAAUACAUGCAAGUCGAGCGAACAGAAGGGAGCUUGCUCCCGGAUGUUAGCGGCGGACGGGUGAGUAACACGUGGGUAACCUGCCUGUAAGACUGGGAUAACUCCGGGAAACCGGAGCUAAUACCGGAUAGUUCCUUGAACCGCAUGGUUCAAGGAUGAAAGACGGUUUCGGCUGUCACUUACAGAUGGACCCGCGGCGCAUUAGCUAGUUGGUGGGGUAAUGGCUCACCAAGGCGACGAUGCGUAGCCGACCUGAGAGGGUGAUCGGCCACACUGGGACUGAGACACGGCCCAGACUCCUACGGGAGGCAGCAGUAGGGAAUCUUCCGCAAUGGACGAAAGUCUGACGGAGCAACGCCGCGUGAGUGAUGAAGGUUUUCGGAUCGUAAAGCUCUGUUGUUAGGGAAGAACAAGUGCGAGA
rnacentral:rRNA from 1 species